UAGCUGAGACAGACAGGUGUAUGACACACACUCAGUCGGGUCUGGAGAGAAAUUAAAUAACGUGUGUAACAUUUCCAAGAGUUAAAGUGGUUCUAACUGAAGCUGAAGUGUCACCGGAGGGAGAAAAUUAUCUGAGAGAGAGAAAUUAUCAGCGGGAGAAACUCUGUCGGGCCAUUCCUUCCAACUAAGUAUCCCGUGGGCUGCAGGAGAGUUUCAAGGCGGUUUGGCGGGAGAGAUGUGAGGCAAAACUACUGUGUGAGGCGAUUGGAACAGGUGCAUGCAGUCACUGAGUCCUUCAUGGCCUCCAGGAGAGCCAGCUGGUUGUGGACAGGCUCCUCAGUCAGGAUGUGGACAUGCUAACGAGAUGCCUGGGACUUGCUUUGGGAAGUGGCCUGUGUGACUUGUUGCUGAGUGUGAAGUCGACGGCACGUCAUGGAGCACCUGGCCAAGGACAGCCUGCAGGAGAGAAAAGAGAGGGAGCUACAGAGAGGUGAAGGAGAGAUGGAAGGUGAAGUAAAGGAGAAAUAGAAAGGUAACCAUCGGACUCAGCUGUAUGAUCAGCAGAGGGACGAGUACCUGCCGGCUGCUCAGGACCUCAGGAUGCUUGUCAUAGCCAAAGAUCCUGAUGACAGAGUUCGACCCGGAGCUGAGUAGUCGAUUCAUCUCCUGUCAAUCCAGUUUCCAAGUGCGUGGAUCCAAAAUAACCUUUACGGCGAUCACUUUGACUGUCAACAGGGGAAAAAAUACAAUCUUUCCAUGUAAUCCCUGGCACCCACCCCUGGUCCUGCUUUACAAAAAGGUUGGCACGUGUGACUCAGCAGUGAUGUGUAGGCCAAACUCCAAAUAGUGAACCCGAUGAACUAAAUAGUUUGGGUUUCGUCUGAAGAAGCCUGUAAUGGGUUUGCAGUCUCCUUCGUGUCAGAUAACGGACAGCAAGGUGUCUGUAAUAUUCUGACACCCUCAGCCGGUCCGGUGGGACCGUACAGGACGUGAAGGACAGUGGACUUCACAUGCUCUGGUGGUCGUCUGAAUUUCCUGAUGUCAUGUUUAAUGUGGUCAACAAAGAGAGGGGAGUAAAGAAGUGUGACCUACAAUGAAACCUUCAGGAAGCUCACAGGUAGUAUCAGCUGAGGAGGAGGAGACGGGUUCCCAGAGACUCAGAUAUUGUAACAUCAGUGUAGUUUAAUGAGCUCAGAACCAGAUAUUUGAAAAGUCCUUUGUAAUUCUGCUGUGUGCUCUGUUAAAGGCUCCUGUCUGACCUUGGACUUCAAAUAAACCUUCACCCACAUGAAUCGCCAGAUGAAUAUAAUUUGUGUGGUCCAAACCGAAAUGUCUCAGCAAAUAUAGCCUAGAUUGGGAUCAGAUUAGCAAUUAAUAUUGAAGCCGCCCUAGAGGAUGAAUCCUACUGUGUUUGCUGAUCCUUUGAUUUUUUUCCUCUAGUGCCACCGUGAGGUUCACAUUUGUGGUUUUGAAUGAAACAUUUCUACAGCUGUUGGAUGGAUUGUGAUGAAACGUGGGUCAGAUGUUCUGGGACACUUCCACUGGUUGGUUAGAUUGGUCGUGUGUUUUGGUUUCCACACAGUGUGUAAAAACGUGCACUAAAAGUUGUCUGUCAGCCACACAGACGGGAUGGUAGAUGAUGACGAUAGCCGCUGCAUUAACUGUAUUCGUUCUUGGUGGUCCUGUAAACUGUGAUGUGAACCUGCUGCAGGUUAGAGGGCUGCAGUGACUCCAGGUGUCAGCUGACUCUUGAAAAAGACUCUUGACACAGA